AUGAUCUCUUCUACUGAUUUACAAUCCUUUAUGCUCAUUCUGUCAAGCUUUUGAAGUCUUGUCGAAAUAUUCAACAGAAAAGCAUUCAAUAGAUUAGAACAAUCCUCCAAAUCAGUGGAAGUUAGUCUAGAAAAGGAAUGUUCAACAAGUUGGUUAGGCCAUAGCCUCUCCAAUUUGUCCAUCUUACUAAUAU